rnacentral:lncRNA from 1 species
ACAGAGACUUGGUUUAAAAAUAAUUUUCAAAUCUAUGCUCAAGCGAGCUUUAACGAAAAUCAAAAGUCGGAAGUUGUUUGCUAAAGACAAUAAGACUAAGGAUCUAGGGUUUUUGAAUCCACUAGAUCUAGAUUAGGGAAUUCUAUCUAGAAUUUUUCUUAUUGAUCCUAACGACUACUCCUCUUGUCUUUCCCAAGCA